rnacentral:rRNA from 1 species
GUGUCAGCCGCCGCGGUAAUACGGAGGAUCCAAGCGUUAUCCGGAAUCAUUGGGUUUAAAGGGUCCGUAGGCGGUUUAAUAAGUCAGUGGUGAAAGCCCAUCGCUCAACGGUAGAACGGCCAUUGAUACUGUUAAACUUGAAUUAUUAGGAAGUAACUAGAAUAUGUAGUGUAGCGGUGAAAUGCUUAGAGAUUACAUGGAAUACCAAUUGCGAAGGCAGGUUACUACUAAUGGAUUGACGCUGAUGGACGAAAGCGUGGGUAGCGAACAGGAUUAGAAACCCUAGUAGUCC